rnacentral:rRNA from 1 species
AGUAAUGCCUAGGAAUCUGCCUGGUAGUGGGGGACGAACGUUUCGAAAGGAACGCUAAUACCGCAUACGUUCUACGGGAGAAAGCAGGGACCUUCGGGCCUUGCGCUAUCAGAUGAGCCUAGGUCGGAUUAGCUAGUUGGUGAGGUAAUGGCUCACCAAGGCGACGAUCCGUAACUGGUCUGAGAGGAUGAUCAGUCACACUGGAACUGAGACACGGUCCAGACUCCUACGGGAGGCAGCAGCC